rnacentral:misc_RNA from 1 species
GUAGGUGAACCUGCGGAAGGAUCAUUAAAUUUUAGCAGCCGCAAGGCAGCAACCGCCCACCGCGAGGUGGGGUCGGCACCCUCUGUCUACUUGUACCUCUUGUUGUUUCCUCGGCAGGCUUGCCUGCCGCCAGGAACCCCUAAACUCUUGUAUCUAAAGUAUUAUAAAAAACUCUGAUAACCACUUAAUUAUCACAACUUUCAACAAUGGAUCUCUUGGUUCUG